UUAUUAAUUUAAUUAUAUUUAUUAUUUGGUUAUUUAAUAUCUAAUAGAAAUAACUUUUUAUUUUUAUGUCUUAGUAUAUUUUAUUGAAUUGAUUAUUUUUAUUAUAGUUUAUUAGUAAUGUAAAUGGAUUUUGAAAUAAUCAUUAUAUUAAGUAAAGUAAAUUUAAUUUAUUGUACCUUUUGUAUCAGGGUCUAUUAAAAUUUAUUAUUUAUUAAUAUUUAUCUCGAUUUAGGUUGAUCUAAAAAUAAUUUAUAGUUAAUGUUUCAUAAUUAUUAUAAAAUUAUUUUUAGAUGUGAAAUGUUAUUCGUUUCCUAAUAUAUCUAGUUUCUUAAGAAAAAAUUUAAUUUUUUAAAGUUAAUUGUUUUAAUUUAUUUUAUAUAAAGAAAUAUUAACUUAUUAAUCCUAUAUAAUAGUAAGCUUUAAACCAGCUAUCUUAUAGAUUACGUUUUAGUUCAUUAUUUUUAAUUUUGAUUUUUUAAUUAUUUUAGAUUUAUUAUUAAGAUAUUAAAUUUAAUUAAAAAUUUUUAUAAAUAAUGAUAGAAUUAGUAUAUAAUUUUGUUCAUAAUAUUUUAAUUUGAUAAUUUAUUAUGAGGAAUUAGGCAAAUUUUAUUCCCACCUGUUUAUCAAAAACAUGUCCUCUUGAAAAGAAUUUGAGGUCUAGUCUGCUCACUGAUAUGGAUUGAAGAGCCGCGGUAUUUUGACCGUGCAAAGGUAGCAUAAUUAUUAGUCUCUUAAUUAGGGGCUGGAAUGAAUGGUUUGAUGAGGAAUAAACUGUCUUUUAUUAAUUUUUAGAAUUUAACUUUUGAGUUAAAAGGCUUAAAUUUUUCUUUAGGACGAGAAGACCCUAUAGAGCUUAACAUUUUACUUUAUAUAUUUUUUAGUUGAUUUUUUUAUAUAAAAUAUUAAUGUUUGGUUGGGGUGACAUGAAGAAUAAUUAAACUCUUCAUUAUUAAAUCAUUAAUUUAUGUUUAUUAUGAUCCAUAAUUCAUGAUUAUAAGAUUAAGUUACCUUAGGGAUAACAGCGUAAUUGUUUUUAAGAGUUCAUAUCAACAAAAUAGAUUGCGACCUCGAUGUUGGAUUAAGAAAAAUUUUGGGUGCAGUAACUCAAUAAUUAGGUCUGUUCGACCUUUAAAUUCUUACAUGAUCUGAGUUCAGACCGGCGUAAGCCAGGUCGGUUUCUAUCCUAAGUUAAAUUAUUUAUAUUAGUACGAAAGGACCAUAUAGAUGAAUAAAUUUUUAAAGAUUUGAUUAAAAAUAAAUAA
rnacentral:rRNA from 1 species